AUGCUCAAAAUUCUCCAAGCCAGGCUUCAGCAAUACGUGAACCGUGAACUCCCUGACAUUCAAGCUGGUUUUAGAAAAGGCAGAGGAAUCAGAGAUCAAAUUGCCAACAUCCGCUGGAUCAUGGAAAAAGCAAGAGAGUUCCAGAAAAACAUCUAUUUCUGCUUUCUUGACUAUGCCAAAGCCUUUGACUGUGUGGAUCACAAUAAACUGUGGAGAAUUCUGAAAGAGAUGGGAAUACCAGACCACCUAACCUGCCUCUUGAGAAAUCUGUAUGCAGGUCAGGAAGCAACAGUUAGAACUGGACAUGGAACAACAGACUGGUUCCAAAUAGGAAAAGGAGUAUGUCAAGGCUGUAUAUUGUCCCCCUGCUUAUUUAACUUAUAUGCAGAGUACAUCCUGAGAAACGCUGGACUGGAAGAAACACAAGCUGGAAUCAAGAUUGCUGGGAGAAAUCUCAAUAACCUCAGAUAUGCAGAUGACACCAGCCUUAUGGCAGAAAGUGAAGAGGAACUAAAAAGCCUCUUGAUGAAAAUGAAAGAGGAGAGUGAAAAAGUUGGCUUAAAGCUCAACAUUCAGAAAACGAAGAUCAUGGCAUCCGGUCCCAUCACUUCAUGGGAAAUAGAUGGGGAAACAGUAGAAACAGUGUCAGACUUUAUUUUUUUGGUCUCCAGAAUCACUGCAGAUAGUGACUGCAGCCAUGAAAUUAAAAGACGCUUACUCCUUGGAAGAAAAGUUAGGACCAACCUAGAUAACAUAUUCAAAAGCAGAGACAUUACUUUGCCGACUAAGGUCCAUCUAGUCAAGGCUAUGGUUUUUCCUGUGGUCAUGUAUGGAUGUGAGAGUUGGACUGUGAAGAAGGCUGAGCGCCGAAGAAUUGAUGCUUUUGAACUGUGGUGUUGGAGAAGACUCUUGAGGGUCCCUUGGACUGCAAGGAGAUCCAACCAGUCCAUUCUGAAGGAGAUCAGCCCUGCGAUUUCUUUGGAAGGAAUGAUGCUAAAGCUGAAGCUCCAGUACUUUGGCCACCUCAUGCAAAGAGUUGACUCAUUGGAAAAGACUCUAAUGCUGGGAGGGAUUGGGGGCAGGAGGAGAAAGAGACGACCCAGGAUGAGAUGGCUGGAUGGCAUCAUGCACUCGAUAUGGACUCACAUCCAUAUCGUGAAUCUGAUUGAACUCCAGAAGAUGGUGAUGGACAGGGAGGCCUGGCGUGCUGCGAUUCACGGGGUCGCAAAGAGUCGGACAUGA
rnacentral:lncRNA from 1 species